rnacentral:rRNA from 1 species
AUUGAACGCUGGCGGCAGGCCUAACACAUGCAAGUCGAGCGGAUGAAGGGUGCUUGCUCCUGGAUUCAGCGGCGGACGGGCGAGUAAUGCCUAGGAAUCUGCCUGGUAGUGGGGGAUAACGUCCGGAAACGGGCGCUAAUACCGCAUACGUCCUGAGGGAGAAAGUGGGGGAUCUUCGGACCUCACGCUAUCAGAUGAGCCUAGGUCGGAUUAGCUAGUUGGUGGGGUAAAGGCCUACCAAGGCGACGAUCCGUAACUGGUCUGAGAGGAUGAUCAGUCACACUGGAACUGAGACAUGGUCCAGACUCCUACGGGAGGCAGCAGUGGGGAAUAUUGGACAAUGGGCGAAAGCCUGAUCCAGCCAUGCCGCGUGUGUGAAGAAGGUCUUCGGAUUGUAAAGCACUUUUGGUUGGGAGGAAGGGCAGUAAGUUAAUACCUUGCUGUUUUGACGUUACCAACAGAAUAAGCACCGGCUAACUUCGUG